rnacentral:rRNA from 1 species
GACGAACGCUGGCGGCGUGCUUAACACAUGCUUUUCGAACGGAAAGGCCCUGCUUUUGUGGGGUGCUCGAGUGGCGAACGGGUGAGUAACACGUGAGUAACCUGCCCUUGACUUUGGGAUAACUUCAGGAAACUGGGGCUAAUACCGGAUAGGAGCUCCUGCUGCAUGGUGGGGGUUGGAAAGUUUCGGCGGUUGGGGAUGGACUCGCGGCUUAUCAGCUUGUUGGUGGGGUAGUGGCUUACCAAGGCUUUGACGGGUAGCCGGCCUGAGAGGGUGACCGGCCACAUUGGGACUGAGAUACGGCCCAGACUCCUACGGGAGGCAGCAGUGGGGAAUAUUGCACAAUGGGCGGAAGCCUGAUGCAGCAACGCCGCGUGCGGGAUGACGGCCUUCGGGUUGUAAACCGCUUUCGCCUGUGACGAAGCGUGAGUGACGGUAAUGGGUAAAGAAGCACCGGCUAACUACGUGCCAGCAGCCGCGGUGAUACGUAGGGUGCGAGCGUUGUCCGGAUUUAUUGGGCGUAAAGGGCUCGUAGGUGGUUGAUCGCGUCGGAAGUGUAAUCUCGGGGCUUAACCCUGAGCGUGCUUUCGAUACGGGUUGACUUGAGGAAGGUAGGGGAGAGUGGAAUUCCUGGUGGAGCGGUGGAAUGCGCAGAUAUCAGGAGGAACACCAGUGGCGAAGGCGGUUCUCUGGGCCUUUCCUGACGCUGAGGAGCGAAAGCGUGGGGAGCGAACAGGCUUAGAUACCCUGGUAGUCCACGCUGUAAACGGUGGGUACUAGGUGUGGGGUCCAUUCCACGGGUUCCGUGCCGUAGCUAACGCUUUAAGUACCCCGCCUGGGGAGUACGGCCGCAAGGCUAAAACUCAAAGGAAUUGACGGGGCCCCGCACAAGCGGCGGAGCAUGCGGAUUAAUUCGAUGCAACGCGUAGAACCUUACCUGGGUUUGACAUGGAUCGGGAGUGCUCAGAGAUGGGUGUGCCUCUUUUGGGGUCGGUUCACAGGUGGUGCAUGCCUGUCGUCAGCUCGUGUCGUGAGAUGUUGGGUUAAGUCCCGCAACGAGCGCAACCCUUGUUCACUGUUGCCAGCACGUUAUGGUGGGGACUCAGUGGAGACCGCCGGGGUCAACUCGGAGGAAGGUGGGGAUGACGUCAAGUCCUCAUGCCCCUUAUGUCCAGGGCUUCACGCAUGCUACAAUGGCUGGUACAGAGAGUGGCGAGCCUGUGAGGGUGAGCGAAUCUCGGAAAGCCGGUCUCAGUUCGGAUUGGGGUCUGCAACUCGACCUCAUGAAGUCGGAGUCGCUAGUAAUCGCAGAUCAGCAACGCUGCGGUGAAUACGUUCCCGGGGCU